CCAUGUGGGUGAUGAGGACUAUGACCUCGAUGACGAGGAUCUCCUAGACGUGGAGUAGAUCAUAUAAUUCCUCUGCUUUAAAUUAUUUAUUAGCCAGUGUGAUUUAUUUCCAGAAGAAUAACUUAGGUCGCUAUGUAAUAAUGCUCCGGUUGAGCAAUUUCAUUAUUUUAUUUGUUUGAACUCUCGGCAUGAAUGUUUUGGUUGAUAGUAUUAUUUUAAUUACAUCAUGUUUGCUUACGUGCUUUCUAUAUUCA
rnacentral:lncRNA from 1 species